rnacentral:misc_RNA from 1 species
CCUUUUGGUUGUAGAUUGUGGGCGACCACCAUUCUACGGCUAAUUCAACCCUUGAUUUUUAAGUACUUCUUGUUUCCUUGGUGGGGAAACCCACCAUAGGACCUUUCCAAACUCUUUGUAAUUGAAAUCAGCGUCAGUAAACUUGAAUUAUUA